rnacentral:pre_miRNA from 1 species
AACUGUUUAUAAAUAGCCUCGCUUGUUAGAGAAGCAUUUAUGUGAGGGUAUUUCUAAGCAGUAAU